rnacentral:misc_RNA from 1 species
AACCAUUCUCACCUGCGGCUAGACCUGCGGAAGGAUCAUUACCGAGUUUACAACUCCCAAACCCCUGUGAACAUACCAAUUGUUGCCUCGGCGGAUCAGCCCGCUCCCGGUAAAACGGGACGGCCCGCCAGAGGACCCCUAAACUCUGUUUCUAUAUGUAACUUCUGAGUAAAACCAUAAAUAAAUCAAAACUUUUAGCAACGGAUCU